ensembl:lncRNA
GCUGUGGUGACGGUUCGGGUAAAGAGGCAUCAGGUGGGACAGCCGUAGUGCUGGCCGCUGCAGGAGUGCUACAGCUGGCAAACACCGAAACACCAAAUGUUUCCUGUCCCAAAGACCGAGAAGAAGGCGUCGUACUCCAUCCGCUUGGUGGGCAUCCAGUCCUCAAAUACUGAAGUUCAUGUCCUCCAACGGUCCCACCUCAAUGACGUCAGUGUUCGCGGUUCACCGCUUGAGUAACUGAAAGAUUUGGGUGCGUUACAUUUGACGAAGAAGUGCAAGAAGAGCGGCUCAAUUUCUACGGUACCGCCUGUUAAUGCUUCAGGGAGCUGAUGAAUCUAAGAUGGAUACUUUUGACGAUGCCACUCUAUCGGUGUUGGAGGCUGCCAGUGUUGAUGAGGAGGCUUUGAAAGGCCUUAGCCGGGAUGACCUGAGGGAUCUUUUUCCUGGCCCAGAGAAUUUCCUCAAAAGAAAGAAACUUUGGAAUUUCAUCAGUGAAAAUUGUGAAAAUACCACGGACCAAGAUGCCAACAAUUGUGCCAUGCCACCAUGCCAGCCUCAAACCUCAACCCCCAUAUCUGCUGAGAAAAAAAUGAAAAUGCCAGACCCUCCAGAGUAUGUGGUGUACACAGAUUCAGAGUUAGACAUGUCCCAUGGGGAAAGAAGUCAGUUACCCGUCAAAAUUGGAAAUAAGAGCCAUGUCACAGAAGAUUAUAGACUAUUACCCAAUGUUACGGGAUGAUGAUCCAAACAUGCCUUAUCUGACUAUCUACACCAAAAUGUACAAGCGACUCCAAAAUAUGAGAUCCCCACGGAAGAGGCAAGGCUCUGUACCACAAAGAGGAGUGGCAAAGACAGCUCUCUUCAGUGCAGACAACCAAGACAUGGAGACGGAUUGGACAGACACAAGCAACUCAAGUGAUAAUACCUUACUUCUUGAGAGCAAUGAUGACCUUACCGAGGACAACUCCAGUGAAGCAUUCCCAGCACAUCGACCCCCCUCUGUGCCAAGGAAGCCAAAGACCAAAACCUUCCUGCUGCCAUCCGCAUCAGCCUCAGGCUCCUCACUCAGGACUGUGAUCGCUUCACCAACCACGCCUGCAAAGGAUGAUGUUGUCGGCCAGGACAGUCUGAAAAUGCAGGCUAGGCACUACAAAACCUUGAGCAACAUGUACAAUAAGCCAAAUGCAAAACCCAAUCAAAGUGAUGUUGCUCAAGUUUUAGACCUUGAGUUUAAGGCCAGACGGGCUUUCAUUGAUGCAGAUGUUACAAGGGAAGAAGACCGACCUGCAAAAAUCUUUGAGGCAUAUCCAUGCUUUAGAGAUGUUCGAAAUGCAAUGGAUGAGCUGCGGCGCAUAGUAGGUGGCACCAACAGCAGAUACAUCGAGGAAGUGAAAGGAAGAUGGGCAGACUUUUGUGCCAAGGUGCAGUUCUAUGGUGUGUGGAAGAAAGCCCUGAAACCCCCCUUUCCAUUGGAUGUCCGUGGAGUGGAGUUCACGCUUGCCCUCUUCAAUGCACUCCCAUCCCUUUUCCCCUCACCAACUUCACCACCAAAGAAGCUUGGAAAUAGCUGUGAGGCACUUCUUCAUGUCCUGAAGUCAGGCGAAGACCCUGCCCUGUACCUGGAAAAGCAUCCUCUCUCCUCCCCAGUUCUGCUUUCUGAUGGCUCAACCACCAUUGUGGCUGUGGGUAAUGUACCUGUGACCACCCUCCCUCAGGAAGAUUUCUCAGACGGGAUGUUGGUGUUAAUGGCAUAUUACUACACUUUGCACUUAAGAUAUCCAAAAUGUGUUGCAACGCUCCUGUCAGUUAUUCAAACAGAGGUAAUUGGUGACACAAUCCACGAUCAAGAUGCCACUAGUGCUUACAGGAAAGCAAUGGCUGAUUGGAAGUCUUUCAUUGAGAAGUAGCUGAGUAUUUUGUCAUGCCAGUUCUUAUUGUUAGCUGUGAGUUCUUAUUGUUAGCUGUGCCUAAUAAUAGUUUUGUGUUGCACAAGCUUAUACAGUCACUGAGUUAUUACCUCAUUUAGGCCUGUAUUUAAAAUGAUAGUUAAGGAAAAAUCCAUAACUGAGGG